rnacentral:lncRNA from 1 species
UCAGAGAAAGCAUGGUUCUGAAACAUUGGAAGGUAAAAUCCUAGAGGCUACCUGCAUUCCUUGGCUUUUAUCCCCAAUCUUCCAUCUUCGGAGCCAGCAACAAUAUAUUGAUCAUGAGGAGAGGGCUCACCCCUCACCCGGAGAAGUAGUUGGGGAAGCAAUAUGCGGAAACAAAGCCAUGAAUCUGACAAGAAAUGUACUUAAGAUUGUAUAUAUGGAGAUGAAUACCCAUUGUCCUUUGCACUUUCUGGAUGAUAAAUUAGAAAAGAAAAAUCCAAAGAAUGAAGUUGUGCUAUUUGUCCUCACUUCUGAUUUGGGAAACUAGAGGAAAUUAAGAUGGGAAAAGACCAUGUGAGGACACAGUGAGAAGGAGACCAUAUGCAAAGCAGGAAGGAAGAUCUCACUGGAACCAAAAACCAGCCCUGCUGGCACCCUGAUCUUGGACUUCUAG